UUGGGUGACAGAAAUCCAAUCAACAGAUUCAAGAUAUAAAUCCCAAGACCAUACGAGAUAAUGUAAAACCCUUGAAGAUAAUAGACCCGUAACACAUAAAUUGACGCAACAGCAAGCGUCCCGAGCCACCUUUGAACAGGAAGAGGUGUUGACUUAUCCAGAUAAAUCUGGAACACCCGUGAGAAUUCCGUUUUCCACUUGGUUAGCGGUCCCAUUGGGGAGGCAGCAUCACCCCCUAAUCCUUCCAUUUUAACCAACUUGUAAUUCUUUCUGUACAAACUACAAGGGAAUUAUUGUUGUUUAGGGUUUCUGCGUUUUGCCUGUGCCUGAAAAGAAGAAGAAGAUUAUCCAAAUUCGCACCGACUCUGGAUGGAUUUUGGGGUUUGUGAAAUGUGA
rnacentral:lncRNA from 1 species